UUAAAAACGUUGAUUAGGAAGAGUAGCUUGAUCAGCCAGCCAAGCAGAAAGCUGACGGUAGUUGCGAGUCAGCCGCGCGGUCAAGCGAAAAUCACCUAUGAGUUGGGCGUCAAAAUCUUAGUAAGACGCACCUGGCAGCACCCAUUACCGUGCCGAUGAAUCCAGUCUGACUGGGUUUGUUUGAGGUUAAGUUUUCAGCUUAACGAAAAAAGGUGGUACCACGCCCAUGUGACGUCCUUUAA
rnacentral:ncRNA from 1 species